CAAAGGUAGCAUAAUCAUUUGUCUAUUAAUUGUAGACCAGCAUGAAAGGCAACAUGAGGGUCUAACUGUCUCUUAUAAUAAAUCAAUUAAACUGAUCUUCUAGUAAAAAAGCUAGAAUUACACCAUAAGACCAGAAGACCCUGUGAAGCUUAAACUAAACUAUUAAAACAAAUAAUAGCUAUUUUCGGUUGGGGCGACCUUGGAAAAAAAAAGAACUUCUAAUAUACCAUAACAAAACCACAUAGGCCCACAAGCCACACACUAAUGACCCAGCAUGACUGAUCAUUGAACCAAGUUACUCCAGGGAUAACAGCGCUAUCUUCUUCAAGAGCCCAUAUCAAAAAGAAGGUUUACGACCUCGAUGUUGGAUCAGGACAUCCUAACGGCGCAGCCGCUGUUAAGGGCUCGUUUGUUCAACGAUUAAUAGU
rnacentral:rRNA from 1 species